GUUCUUGAGUCUUGGACUUCUAUGCAUCUUUUUAUGUCUUCAUUUGAGGUGUUGCAUCCUCAUUGCCUUGGUCCAAUCCUCUUCGCAUCCUGUGAACUACAAACACAAACACUAGAAACCUUAUUAGUUCACGGAUUGUGUUGUUCAUCAAACACCAAAACUCAAUUAGCCAAAAGGCCCGGGGUCCAUUUUCCUUACACACUCCAUUUCUAAUGUGUUUUUAGUUGAGUCGCUCGGGUAUAACUUGUUGUCCGUUAGUCAACUUUGUAAUAUGGGUUAUAAUUGCUUAUUCACAAAUGUAGAUGUGUCUAUCUUUAGAAGAAGUGAUGGUUCAUUAGCUUUUAAGGGUGUACUAGACGACAAACUAUAUUUAGUUGAUUUUGCAAAAGAGGAGGCCAGUCUAUAUGCAUGCUUAAUUGCUAAGACCAACAUGGGCUGGCUGUGGCAUCGUCGUUUAGCACAUGUGGGGAUGAAGAACCUUCACAAACUUCUAAAGGGAGAACAUGUGUUAGGUCUAACAAAUGUAAAUUUCGAAAAAGAUAGACCUUGUGUAGCUUGUCAAGCAGGUAAACAGGUGGGAAGCUCUCAUCAUAUCAAAAAUGUGAUGACCACGUCAAGACCUUUGGAGUUACUUCAUAUGGACCUCUUCGGACCCGUCACCUACCUAAGCAUAGGAGGAAGUAAGUAUGGUCUUGUUAUAGUUGAUGAUUUUUCCCGCUUCACUUGGGUAUUCUUUUUGUAGUAUAAAUCUGAAACCCAAGGGACCCUCAAGCGCUUCCUAAGGAGAGCUCAAAAUGAGUUUGAGCUCAAGGUGAAAAAGAUAAGGAGCGACAACGGGUCCGAGUUCAAGAAUCUUCAAGUGGAGGAGUUCCUUGAGGAGGAAGGAAUCAAGCAUGAGUUCUCCGCUCCCUACACACCACAGCAAAACAGUGUGGUACAGAGGAAGAACAGGACGCUCAUUGACAUGGUGAGGACGAUGCUUGGAGAGUUCAAGACGCCCGAGAGGUUUUGGUCGGAAGCCGUGAACACGGCUUGCCACGCCAUAAACCGGGUCUACCUUCAUCGCCUCCUCAAGAAGACUUCAUAUGAGCUACUAACCGGUAACAAACCCAAUGUGUCAUACUUUCGUGUUUUUGGGAGCAAAUGUUAUAUUCUAGUGAAGAAAGGUAGAAAUUCUAAGUUUGCUCCCAAAGCCGUAGAAGGGUUUUUGUUAGGUUAUGACUCAAAUACAAAGGCGUAUAGGGUCUUCAACAAAUCAUCGGGUUUGGUUGAAGUCUCUAGCGACGUUGUAUUUGAUGAGACUAAUGGCUCUCCAAGAGAGCAAGUUGUUGAUCUUGAUGAUAUAGAUGAAGAAGAUGUUCCAACGGCCGCCAUACGUACCAUGGCAAUUGGAGAUGUGCGACCACAGGAACAAACGGAGCAAGAUCAACCUUCUUCCUCAACAAUGGUGCAACCCCCAACUCAAGAUGAUGAACAGGUUCAUCAAGAAGAGGCGUGUAACCAAGGGGGAGCACAAGAUGAUCAUGUUAUGGAGGAAGAAGCACCUCAAGCCCCUCCAACUCAAGUUCGAGCGACGAUUCAAAGGAAUCAUCCCGUCGACCAGAUAUUGGGUGAUAUUAGCAAGGGAGUAACUACUCGCUCUAGAUUAGUUAAUUUUUGUGAGCAUUACUGUUUUGUCUCUUCUAUUGAGCCUUUCAGGGUAGAAGAGGCCAUGCUAGAUCCGGACUGGGUGUUGGCAAUGCAGGAAGAGCUCAACAAUUUCAAGAGAAAUGAAGUUUGGACACUGGUGCCACGUCCCAAGCAAAACGUUGUGGGAACCAAGUGGGUGUUCCGCAACAAACAAGACGAGCUCGGAGUGGUGACAAGGAACAAGGCUAGACUUGUGGCAAAAGGUUAUGCCCAAGUCGCAGGUUUGGACUUUGAGGAGACUUUUGCUCCUGUGGCUAGGCUAGAGUCAAUUCGCAUAUUGUUAGCCUAUGCCGCUCACCAUUCUUUCAGGUUGUUCCAAAUGGACGUGAAGAGCGCUUUCCUCAACGGACCAAUCAAGGAGGAGGUGUACGUGGAGCAACCCCCUGGCUUUGAGGAUGAACGGUACCCCGAUCAUGUGUGUAAGCUCUCUAAGGCGCUCUAUGGACUUAAGCAAGCCCCAAGAGCAUGGUAUGAAUGCCUUAGAGACUUUUUAAUUGCUAAUGCUUUCAAGGUUGGGAAAGUUGAUCAGACUUUAUUCACUAAGACUUGUGAUGGUGACUUAUUUGUGUGCCAAAUUUAUGUCGAUGACAUAUUAUUUGGUUCUACUAACCAAAAGUCUUGUGAAGAGUUUAGCAGGGUGAUGACUCAAAAGUUUGAAAUGUCAAUGAUGGGCGAGUUGAACUACUUCCUUGGGUUCCAAGUGAAGCAACUCAAGGAUGGCACCUUCAUCUCUCAAACGAAGUACACGCAAGACUUGAUCAAGCGGUUUGGGAUGAAGGACGCCAAGCCCGCAAAGACUCCAAUGGGAACUGACGGACACGUCGACCUCAACAAAGGAGGUAAGUCCGUUGAUCAAAAAGCAUACCGGUCUAUGAUAGGUUCCUUGCUUUACUUAUGUGCUAGUAGACCGGAUAUUAUGCUUAGUGUAUGCAUGUGUGCUGGAUUUCAAUCUGAUCCAAGGGAGUGUCACCUAGUGGUCGUGAAGCGAAUUCUUAGAUAUUUAGUUGCUACGCCUUGCUUCGGGAUCUGGUAUCCAAAGGGGUCUACCUUUGACUUAAUUGGAUAUUCAGACUCCGAUUAUGCUGGAUGCAAGGUCGAUAGGAAGAGUACAUCAGGGACGUGCCAAUUCUUAGGAAGGUCCCUGGUGUCUUGGAGUUCUAAGAAACAAAAUUCCGUUGCUCUAUCCACCGCUGAGGCCGAGUAUGUUGCCGCAGGUCAGUGUUGCGUGCAACUACUUUGGAUGAGGCAAACCCUCCGGGACUUUGGCUACAAUCUGAGCAAAGUCCCACUCCUAUGUGAUAAUGAGAGUGCAAUCCGCAUGGCGGAUAAUCCUGUUGAACACAGCCGCACAAAGCACAUAGACAUCCGGCAUCACUUUUUGAGAGACCACCAGCAAAAGGGAGAUAUCGAAGUGUUUUAUGUUAGCACCGAGAACCAGCUAGCCGAUAUCUUUACCAAGCCUUUAGAUGAAAAGACCUUUUGCAGGCUGCGUAGUGAGCUAAAUGUCUUAGAUUCGCGGAACUUGGAUUGAUUUGUAGCAUACAUGUGUCUUAUGCUUUGAUCAUGUUCUUUUAUGCAUAUUGUUGUUUAUUUAUGGUGCUCAAGUUGUACAAACACUCCCCGGACCUCAAAAGUCCAUGUGUGAGUGAUGCACAUAUUUAGGGGGAGAUGUGCUACAACUUGACUCUUUGGGACUAACCAUAUGCUUGAGUGUUCUUAAAUUAGUCUCAAAGGUGGAUUGAAAGGGAAAGGUGGACUUGGACCAUGAAAGACUUCCACUGCACUCCGAUAAGAGGGUAACUUACUCCAAGUUCAUCUCCAUAUUCUUAUUGCCUUUUUACUUUUAUUUGAAGAUUUUGGUGAGGCAAUGGGGUUUAAGGGCCAAAAAUGAUCCUGUUUUGGUGCUUGAUGCCAAAGGGGGAGAAGUUAAGGGCCAAAGCAACAAAUGGAUCAGCUACCACUUGAGAAUUUUGAAAAUAGUAGAGUUAGGACUUUUGAUUUGCCAAAAUUCAAAAUGUCUAUUUUUGUCAAAAGUUGGUCUCUUGUGGGGAGAAUGUUUGAUUAUGGGAAAAAGGGGGAGUUUUUGAAUCAGUGAUCAAUUUCUCUUGGAAUAUCUUUCUCUAUGCCUCAACAAGUGAAUUUGACUUAGAGAUAGGAAAUUGUGUUUGAUUUGCAAAAACAAACCUAGUGGUGGCAAAGAAUGAUCCAAAUAUGCCAAAUUUGAAUCAAAACAAAUUUGUGUUCUCAUUUGCAUUGAUGUUGCACUUCUUUUAGUUGCUUUUUGGUGUGUUGGCAUAAAUCACCAAAAAGGGGGAGAUUGAAAGGGAAAUGUGCCCUUGGGCCAUUUCUAUAAGAUUUUGGUGAUUAAGUGCCCAACACACAUUAAGGGAAUGAGUAUAUGCCAAAGGGUGGACAAAGUGCAAAUCAAUACAAAGGUAUGAUUCUAGACUUAGUAUAUUGGUUUUUGUGUACUAACAUAUUUGUCUAAGUUCUGGAAUCAAAGAAAAGACAAUUGGAAAGACUUGGCUCGAGCAGCCAAGACUCUGCUCAGUCUGGGUGCACCGGACUGUCCGGUGGUGCACCGGACACUGUCCGGUGCGCCAGACUGGCUCUGGGGAAAAGGCCGCUCUCGGGAAUUCGUCGGCGGCGUACGGCUAAAAUUCACUAGACUGUCCGGUGAGCCAACGGUCGGCUGUGCCAACGGUCGGCCGCGCAAUCCGCGCGUGACGCGUGGCCGAGCCAACGGUCAGAAGGGGGCACCGGACUGUCCGGUGUGCACCGGACAGUGUCUGGUGCACCAACGGCUCCAAAUCUUCAACGGUCGGCUGUGCCAGAACAGGAAAGAGAUCUGCACCGGACAGUGUCCGGUGGUGCACCGGACUGUCCGGUGCGCCAGUCGACAGAAGGCAAGAUUUGCCUUCCUUGAUUGCUCUCAACGGCUCCUAGCUGCCUUGGGGCUAUAAAAGGGACCCCUAGGCGUAUGAAGGAGUACACCAAGCACACUUUGAGCAUUCUUGAUCAUUCUCACUCCGACUUUGCGCACUCGUUUGACAUUCUUAGUGAUUUGAGCUCCGUUCUAGUGGUGAACUUUGUGAUACUCAUUUGAGCUCAAUUCUUGGCUGUGUGUGUGCAUAUUUGCUGUGGAUUUGAGUGUGUUGCUUCCCUCCCUUACUCUAGUGCUUUCACUUUGAUUCUUAUUGUAAGGGUGAGAGACUCCAAGUUGUAGAGAUUCCUCACAAGCGGGAAAGAGUAAAGAAAGAAGAACACCGUGGUAUUCAAGUCGAUCAUUGGAUUACUUGAGAGGGGUUGAGUGCAACCCUCGUCCGUUGGGACGCCACAACGUGGAGUAGGCAAGUUUUGUACUUGGCCGAACCACGGGAUAAAUCCUCGUGUCUCUUGUGCUUGUUCUCACUGUGUCUAUUGUAUUUCACAAGAGAUCUCCUAUAACCACUUGAUUUCAUUGUGCUAACUCUUAAUCAAGUUUUGUGGCCUUAAGUGUUAAGUUUUUACAGGAUCACCUAUUCACCCCCCUCUAGGUGCUCUCACUAUUAGUGUUUGAUUUUUACAGGAUCACAUUUUCACCCCCCCCUCUAGGUGCUCUCAUUACUGCAUAGGCAAUUUUAUUACGAAGUUAACACAAUUCGAACAAAAUAAAUCGGGGCUAAAACAAAUAAGAUAUGGGUUUUAUAAGUUUUUAUGCAUUUUUAUAUAAAUUUUACGCUUAAAUAUAGUGCUCGGGAUGUUUCUACAAAGUCAUCAUUUAUUUAUAUUUCUUUUGACUUAAAAAUGGACACGCGUUAUUUCUCUGAGAGUCCAGGGGCUCUUUUAGAAAACUUGAUAGGCGCACUCUUUUGGGCCAUCCAUUCGUGGGUCAACGGCCCAGAUCAGACCACAAAGCGGUAUGCGUAUAUUCUAAUCACAUUUGUCCAUCCUAGAUCGACGGCUAGGAGGCCAUCUCCUUUCCCCCGACCGAUGGAGCGGUGGCGCGGUUUGCCAGCGAAACCCAUUUCUGGCCCAGAUGCCCCGAACUCGAAUCAGACCGGUGCUACAUGAAAUAGAUUCAAUGGUGAAUCGAUGGGUGAAGUUCUUACUGGGAAUCGGAUGCUGGUGUGUGCCGUCCACGACGCGGGGUGGACGGGUGAUGCUUGUUGAACUUUGGCGAGCAAUUCGCAUCUUCACCGCCACCAUCCGAGCGUGCCUCCGCCACAAAGAUGCUCGGUUCGAUCCUACGAUGCUCCUAAGCCACAUGUCCCUGCAGAAUCGAUGGUGCACUUGGAUUUCGCCGCGGCGCCGACCAUUUCCAUCUCGGUCUCUCUCUUCGCUCUUCUCUGUCCCCUGCUCGGCACCGGC
rnacentral:lncRNA from 1 species